GCCGCCGUAGCUCAGUUGGUAGAGCGUAUCCUUGGUAAGGAUAAGGUCACCGGUUCAAUCCCGGUCGGUGGCUCCA
rnacentral:tRNA from 1 species